ACUUCAGGGAUGAAGGAGAUGGAGAAACAUUGGUGGGUUUUGAUCAGUGAUGAGCAAGGUCAACCACAGGGAAACAUUGCUCUUGGAAUUCUGUGGAGGCGGAUCUGUUCAGGAUAAAGAAAGAGCCAGAGGUUCUGCUUUCCAGUGUCUUACAUCACCCAGAUAAUUGGCAGCCAGGAGAAGGGCAGCUGCCACACUCUUCAGAGAUCUAUUUAAAGUUCAAAAAGACGCAGGAUAACAAUAACAAGAAGGUAAGCGUGGCUCUGACCAACCCACCCAACAACAGGAAGAAUGGCUGAAAAAGAAUCUACAUUAUCACACCUUCUGGUCCCUAUUCUUCUCUUGAUUGGCUGGAUUGUGGGAUGCAUCGUAAUGGUUUAUGUUGUCUUCUCAUAGAAAGGCAAGAAGACUUCAGAUUGACAUCAUUUAGAAGAAUUAAGAAAAUCAUGAAAAUGACAAGAUAAUUAAACGUUUCUCAUGUAAAUAACAGCAA